UUCAAAUGAGCCUGAGAACAGGCCCAUCGAGGGCUGGACGAACCUUCUUUAGUGUAUAAAAGGAGAAAGCUUGGUCUGUGCCGACACGCUUCCACCGUCUCACUGCAGAAGGGUGUUAAGAGGCUCAUUUUCACGACACAGUCACCAUCUUCUAAAACACAUCAGUGCUCUCCACUGCUGGAAACAUGAAGAUCCUCAUCUUGGUUGCUCUGAUCCUUCAGGUGAUCAUAGUA